rnacentral:lncRNA from 1 species
AGAAAAUUAAAAAUUAAAAAUUAGAAACAAUAUUAUUUAAAGUUUUAUAAAAUAACUUAGUUUUUUAAUUUUAAUAGAAUUUGAUUAUGCAUAUAAAAUUAAUAAAUUUUAUUUAUCUAAUUUUAUAAAAAAAGUGUUAGAUUUUAUUAAGUUUUGUUCUAUCCAACCAAAGCUCAAUAUAUUAAGAAAUUUAAUAAUAUCAAUUAAUAAUUUAAAUAGUUAUUAAAGGAUAAUUUUAAGCGACGCCAACUAGAAUAUGCCACUAAUUGUAAAUGUGAGGCUGUAGUGUAAGGAGGCCGUGAAUGGUGACGAUGACAAGGGUGCCACCGGAUAUGCGAAUUACGGGAGAGAGAAUUCAUCGAGGCAAGGGCCGCGACUACGAUAGUGGGCGAGGG